GGCUCGGCCGGCCGGGUGGGCGCGGUCGCCGCCGUGAUCGGAGUGGUGGCGUUCGCUGUCGCCGUGGUGGUGUUCACGGCGUUGGCCGUGCUGC
rnacentral:tRNA from 1 species